rnacentral:lncRNA from 1 species
UGGGGGGUGUUAGGAAAACUACUACAGAAUAAAGGGUAGCAUACUGCUUUCAGAGGUGAAUGCUAGACAGGAUAGGAGGCUUAUUUGUGAGCUAAGUUUUGAGACUAACCCCUUACUGAGAGGGCUUUGAAUCUGUGUGCCAGCUACUUUAUAAAUGAAUACAUGCCAGGAAACUGCUAGGUUAGUCUCAAACAGAAAUCAGGAAUGCAAAAAGUCCCCCAACACCCGUACAACAUUUGCAGACAAGAGGCAGUCCAGCGCUGUGGAGUUUGGGCUCUAGAGUAACUAUUCUGCAGUCACUUGCUGGCUCCUGUGACUUAACAGAGGGUAUUUUGGUUUUCAAGUCACAUUCAUCUAAAAAACGAGAAUUUGUAAAUAUUAAGUGAGUUUAUGCUUAUAAAAUGCUGUAAACGGACUUGAUAAGCGUUAGGUGUUAUUCUUACAGGUGUAUGAAUAUCCAGCUUCCAGAUCACAUCACCAACAUGGUCACAAUAACAACCCAUUCUUCUUUCUAAAGAUAAAACAAUUCCCU